rnacentral:rRNA from 1 species
GCCUCCCUCCGCCGCCACUCAGACUCCUACGGAGGCGAGCAGUAGGGAAAGUACGUUCCACAACUGGGCGAAAGGCCUGAUGGAGCAACGCCGCGUGCAGGAUGAAGGCCUUCGGGUUGUAAACUGCUUUUAUAUUGUGACGAUUUUGACGGUUAGCAUAUGAAUAAGGAUCGGCUAACUCCGUGCCAGCAGCCGCGGUAAUAC